rnacentral:rRNA from 1 species
GACGAACGCUGGCGGCGUGCUUAACACAUGCAAGUCGAACGGGUCUGCCCUGUUUUUUGCGGGGUGGGUCAGUGGCGAACGGGUGAGUAACACGUGAGUAACCUGCCCCUCACUUCUGGAUAACCGCUUGAAAGGGUGGCUAAUACGGGGUGUUCUGGCUGUGCCGCAUGGUGUGGCUGGGAAAGAUUCACUUUUGUGGUGUUUUGGUGGGGGAUGGGCUCGCGGCCUAUCAGCUUGUUGGUGGGGUGAUGGCCUGCCAAGGCUUUGACGGGAAGCCGGCCUGAGAGGGUGGGCGGUCACACUGGGACUGAGAUACGGCCCGGACUCCUGCGGGAGGCAGCAGUGGGGGGUAUUGCACAAUGGGCGGAAGCCUGAUGCAGCGACGUCGCGUGAGGGAUGGAGGCCUUCGGGUUGUGAACCUCUUUCGCCGGUGAAGAAGGUCCUGCUCUUUGUGGUGGGGUUGACGGUAGCCGGGUUAUGAAGCGCCGGCUAACUACGUG